rnacentral:tRNA from 1 species
GGGCCGGUAGUUCAGGCUGGAAGAAUGCCGCCCUUGCAAGGCGGAGGUCGUGGGUUCAAGUCCCACCCGGUCCA